AUAGGGAACCGCUACCCAAUUGGAAAUUUCGUUGCUGGGUAGCGGUUAGAGUAACCGGUUCCUUAUAAGUGGUGCCCAAAGUAAAUUAAAGCUUUAAUUUUUUUCCCCAAACCCUACCCCGCGCUCCACUUUCCAAUUCCCUCUAAAACCCGUAUCUCUUCUUUUGCUAGCAGUGUCAGUUUCCUUCUGAAACCCUUGCUGAUCUUCAAUCUCUGCACCAUUGACGUUCUCUGUUGCUCCAUCUCUGCGCCAUCUCUGUUCACCGAGCCGUAGAUCAUUGCAAUCGACCCACAUCUCUAAGAGUCGUUUCUGCUGCUUCUUCUCCUCAAGAUAAGUUUUUGAUGCCACGAAAAAAGAGGUUUGCUGCUGAAUGGAAGUUCUAUGUUGCCUUUGCUACUGAGAAGGAAGACUAACUGCAAAGAAACAAGUUCACUGGUUGUUUCAUUUGGAGAAAUGGUAAUAGACUAUGCCUACCAUGAGAGGAAUGCCACUUACAAUGUAGUUGUUGGUAUCUAGUUUCCGGGAUCUUAGAUCUAUGGAAUUUGUUUAUGGACAAUUUUUAAUUAAUUCGGUUUCUAAGUGUAGUUUACAAUCAAUGUCUGUUUAUUUAGUUUGUGGGUAGAAUUUAUUUGAGAUCUCAGAACUAUAUGAAAUUUGUUAUGGUUUCAGCAAAUAUAUGGAUUGAGUAUCAACUAUGAAA